rfam:Triticum aestivum genome assembly, contig: Triticum_aestivum_CS42_TGACv1_scaffold_408259_5BL
AACAUAUUCCCUCCGUCCGAAAAUACUUGUCAUCAAAAUGGAUAAAACAAGAUGUAUCUAGACGUAUUUUAGUUCUAGAUACAUCUCUUUUUGUCCAUUUUGAUGACAAUUAUUUCCGGACGGAGGGAGUACUUU